AUGGCCGCUCCCACCGCCUGCCGCCGUCUGUCCAUCCCAGCUCUAGUGCUGCUGUGCGUUUCACUUCUCCAGCUUGCCCAAGCAAGGCUCCUACCAGAGGACAAAAACGCACUUGAUGACAGCAAGUCGUUCUCCAUCAAAGGUGGCGGCGGGGAGGGUGGUGGCCGGGGCUUCGGUGUGAGCGUAGGCCGUGGCGGGCACGACGUGUCCAUCGCUGUUGGCGGUGGGCUUGGAGGCGGAGCUGGCACUACCCGUGGUGGCGGUGCGAGUGCCGGCGGUGGCGCGGGUGCGGGGGUUGGCAUUGACGUGGGGCGUGGUGGUGUGGAUGUGGGGAUCGGCGGAGGUGGGGGUGGGGCCGGUAGCUCCGGCGGUGUGCGUGCAAGAGGUGGGGCUGGAGGCGGUGUCGGUGUUCACAUCGGGCGUGGUGGGGUGAGUGUGAGCAACGGAGGAGGCGGUGGUGUUGGAGGUGGAAGCGGGGGCAGCAGCGAUGGCAGCUCCGGUGGUGGUAGUGGCGUUGGCCGUGCUGGUAAUGCGGUGGGCGGUGGCGGAGGGUCUGGUAGCGCAAAUGGUUCUGCCGGAAGCGGAGGGGGUAGUGGAGUUGGGUCGGCCAGUGGAGGUGUCGCCGGGGGCUCCGGCAGUGGUGGUGGCCAAGGUUGA
rnacentral:rRNA from 1 species